rnacentral:rRNA from 1 species
UAGGGAAUCUUCCGCAAUGGACGAAAGUCUGACGGAGCAACGCCGCGUGAGUGAAGAAGGAUUUCGGUUCGUAAAACUCUGUUGUUAGGGAAGAAAAAAUGUAUAGUAACUAUAUACACAAGAGACGGUACCUAACCAGAAAGCCACGGCUAACUACGUGCCAGCAGCCGCGGUAAUACGUAGGUGGCAAGCGUUGUCCGGAAUUAUUGGGCGUAAAGCGCGCGCAGGUGGUUUAGAAAGUCAGAUGUGAAAGCCCACGGCUCAACCGUGGAGGGUCAUUGGAAACUAAUAAACUUGAGUGCAGGAGAGAAAAGUGGAAUUCCGAGUGUAGCGGUGAAAUGCGUAGAGAUUAGGAGGAACACCGGUGGCGAAAGCGGCUUGUUGGCCUGCAACUGACACUGAGGCGCGAAAGCGUGGGGAGCAAACAGG